UACGUAGGGUGCAAGCGUUGUCCGGAAUUAUUGGGCGUAAAGAGCUCGUAGGCGGUUUGUCGCGUCUGCUGUGAAAACUCGGGGCUUAACCCCGGGCCUGCAGUGGGUACGGGCAGACUAGAGUGCGGUAGGGGAGACUGGAAUUCCUGGUGUAGCGGUGAAAUGCGCAGAUAUCAGGAGGAACACCGGUGGCGAAGGCGGCCUGCUGGGCAGUAGCUGACGCUGAAGCGCGACAGCGUGGGGAGCAAACAGG
rnacentral:rRNA from 1 species